rnacentral:tRNA from 1 species
GGUGGCUUAAUGGUAGAGUGUUUGCCUUGCAUGCAUGAGUCCCUGGGUUCAAUUCCUCAGCACCA